AAGACAGCUGGAUGAUAGCCGGGCGUGAAGACUCUGCUUGACUAGCUGAGAGGAGGUGCAUGGCCGUCGUCAGUUCGUACUGUGAAGCAUCCUGUUAAGUCAGGCAACGAGCGAGACCCACGCCAACAGUUGCCAGCAUGUCCUCCGGGAUGAUGGGGACACUGUUGGGACCGCCUCUGCUAAAGAGGAGGAAGGAAUGGGCAACGGUAGGUCAGCAUGCCCCGAAUUAUCCGGGCUACACGCGGGCUACAAUGGUCAGGACAAUGGGUAUCAACACCGAAAGGUGAAGGCAAUCUCCUAAACCUGUCCUUAGUUCGGAUUGUGGGCUGCAACUCGCCCACAUGAAGCUGGAAUCUGUAGUAAUCGCGUCUCAAAAUGGCGCGGUGAAUAUGUCCCUGCUCCUU
rnacentral:rRNA from 1 species